rnacentral:rRNA from 1 species
UCGCCUGUUUAUUCCAAAACAUAGCUUWAUGGUGUUUAAUAUUAAGUGUUUUCUGCCCGGUGAAGAUUUUAAAUGGCCGCGGUAUUUUGACCGUGCAAAGGUAGCAUAAUAACUUGCCUCUUAAUUGGGGGCUGGUAUGAAUGAAAAAAUAAAAGCCUAGCUGUCUCUUAUAAGUAAUAAAAGUUGCUGUUUGUGUGAAGAAGCGCAAGUAAAGAAAAAAGACAAGAAGACCCUAUUAAGCUUUACUCAUAAGCUUUAUUUUUUAUCUUAGAAGAAUAAAAAAUAAAGCAUCUUGAGUUUGGUUGGGGUGACUAAAAAGGAAAAGAUCCUUUUUUUUUGUUGUUAUUUUAAAUUUAAUUAGGAUCCAGUCUUUCUGAUUUUAGGAACAAGUUACUAUAGGGAUAACAGCGUAAUUUUCUCAGCAAGUUCUAAUUAAAGAGAAAGAUUGCGACCUCGAUGUUGACUUGUUGUUUCCUGUUAAGGUGCAGAAGCUAGGAUGGUUAGUCUGUUCGACUAUUAAAAAAACACGUGAUCUGAGUUCAGACCGGA